AUGGAAGUGUUGUCCCAUGAUUAGUAUGUGUAGCUGUCAGUAAUGCUUUGGGCGCUUUGGUCGGCUCGCCGCAAAGCUAUUCACGAAGGAGUCUUCCAGAGUCCUUAGUCCAUACAUGCAUUCAUUCACAGCUUCAUCAGCGAGCUAAACAUGAUCAGGGAGAACCAACCGACACAUAUGCACUUGGGUGGAUCACGGGCCACCCAUCCUCUACGACCUAAAGCACCAUCGGCUGGUUUUGCGAAAAUCCACAUUGAUGCCGCAGUUCUAAAAGGAAGAGGGGGCUCUGCAACGGCUGUUUGUCGAGACAGCCAAGGCAAUUUCCUGGGAAGCUCGUCAUUGGUUAUACAUGGAGUUGAUGAUCCCUCUACUCUGGAGACCAUAGCCUGUAGAGAGGCAUUCACUUUGGCACAAGAUCUCCAGCUACAACAUAUGAUCAUAGCAUCAGAUGGCAAGCAAGUUGUUCAGGAGAUAAACACCAGAUCCAGAGGUGGGAACGGAGCAAUUAUUAGUGAGAUCAAUGUUGGGGACCCAGUAAUUUCAAAAAAAUUCCUACGCACACGCAAGAUCUAUCAUGGUGAUGCAUAG
rnacentral:rRNA from 1 species